GCUCUCUCUCUCUCUCUCUCUCUCUCUCUCUCUCUCUCUCAAGCUUAGUUGAAGACUAGCUCAUUCACGACCGUGAGACUCUUGAAAUUUCGAAGAAACCUAACAAUGAAAACUAUUAUCAAUGUUGCUCGACCUAGAAAUCGUAGAAGGACAGGACAGGGCACAAAUGGUUACAUUCUAGUUCAUGCCAAUGGGGGGUUAAAUCAAAUGAGAAUGGGAGUAUGUAAUUGAGAUUUCACGAGUUCUAAUAUAACUAGUUGAGCUUUACUAAGCCCAUACUCCUCUAACACACGUGAUUCAAGUGGGGGCCUUUGUAUAAACCAUUGUUGGGAGUCACCUUUGUAUAGACCACUUGGCCCAAAGAUCAAGUGGUCUACACAUUGGGUGUCCGCACAUAAGCAAAAGAUGGUUUAGAAAAAUUUCAUGCUAUUGUACACACGAUAUUCUUGUAAGGUUAUCUAACAAGGUGGGCAUAGAGAUACAUUGGGGUGUUUGGAUCAAUAUGAAAUGUGCCCUUGCUCAGGUCAUCAAUGUUUUUUUCUUUUUUUCUUUUAAUUUCUUGGAAUUUUUAAGAAAAAAAAAAUCCUCAAAAAUGUUGAUUUCAUGAGGAAAAAAGGCUUGUCUACUCUUAAUUUGCAAAGGAGAUGGAUGGAGG